rnacentral:rRNA from 1 species
UACGGGGGGGGCAAGCGUUGUUCGGAAUUAUUGGGCGUAAAGAGCUCGUAGGCGGACUGUCACGUCUGCUGUGAAAAGCUGGGCUUAACCCUGGCCUUGCAGUGGAUACGGGCAGACUAGAGGUAGGUAGGGGAGAAUGGAAUUCCCGGUGUAGCGGUGAAAUGCGCAGAUAUCGGGAGGAACACCGGUGGCGAAGGCGGUUCUCUGGGCCUUACCUGACGCUGAGGAGCGAAAGCGUGGGGAGCGAACAGG